CGAGCGGACAGAAGGGAGCUUGCUCCCGGAUGUUAGCGGCGGACGGGUGAGUAACACGUGGGUAACCUGCCUGUAAGACUGGGAUAACUCCGGGAAACCGGAGCUAAUACCGGAUAGUUCCUUGAACCGCAUGGUUCAAGGAUGAAAGACGGUUUCGGCUGUCACUUACAGAUGGACCCGCGGCGCAUUAGCUAGUUGGUGAGGUAACGGCUCACCAAGGCGACGAUGCGUAGCCGACCUGAGAGGGUGAUCGGCCACACUGGGACUGAGACACGGCCCAGACUCCUACGGGAGGCAGCAGUAGGGAAUCUUCCGCAAUGGACGAAAGUCUGACGGAGCAACGCCGCGUGAGUGAUGAAGGUUUUCGGAUCGUAAAGCUCUGUUGUUAGGGAAGAACAAGUGCAAGAGUAACUGCUUGCACCUUGACGGUACCUAACCAGAAAGCCACGGCUAACUACGUGCCAGCAGCCGCGGUAAUACGUAGGUGGCAAGCGUUGUCCGGAAUUAUUGGGCGUAAAGGGCUCGCAGGCGGUUUCUUAAGUCUGAUGUGAAAGCCCCCGGCUCAACCGGGGAGGGUCAUUGGAAACUGGGAAACUUGAGUGCAGAAGAGGAGAGUGGAAUUCCACGUGUAGCGGUGAAAUGCGUAGAGAUGUGGAGGAACACCAGUGGCGAAGGCGACUCUCUGGUCUGUAACUGACGCUGAGGAGCGAAAGCGUGGGGAGCGAACAGGAUUAGAUACCCUGGUAGUCCACGCCGUAAACGAUGAGUGCUAAGUGUUAGGGGGUUUCCGCCCCUUAGUGCUGCAGCUAACGCAUUAAGCACUCCGCCUGGGGAGUACGGUCGCAAGACUGAAACUCAAAGGAAUUGACGGGGGCCCGCACAAGCGGUGGAGC
rnacentral:rRNA from 1 species